GACGAACGCUGGCGGCGUGCCUAAUACAUGCAAGUCGAACGCAGUGGGGACGGGUGAGUAACACGUGGGUAACCUCCCAUCAGAGGGGAUAACACUUGGAAACAGGUGCUAAACCGAUACUGAUGGAUGGACCCGCGGUGCAUUAGCUAGUGGGUGAGGUAACGGCCCACCACGGCCACGAUGCCUAGCCGACCUGAGCGGGUGAUCGGCCACACUGGAACUGAGACACGGCCCAGACUCCUACGGGGGGCAGCAGUAGGGAAUCUUCGGCAAUGGGCGAAGGUCUGACCGAGCAACGCCGCGUGAAUGAAGAAGUGUUUCGGGUCGUAAAACUCUGUUGUUAGAGAAGCGGUAUCUAACCAGAAAGCCACGGCUAACUACGUGCCAGCAGCCGCGGUAAUUC
rnacentral:rRNA from 1 species